ACUCUUUUAGUAUAAAUAGUACAGUUGACUUCCAAUCAACUAGUUCCAACCAAACCUGGAAAAGAGUA
rnacentral:tRNA from 1 species